rnacentral:rRNA from 1 species
CAAGUCGAGUGCGCGCCUGUAGCAAUACAGGUGGCGCACGGCGCACGGGUGCGUAACACGUGGGUAACCUGCCCUUUGGUGGGGAAUAACUCCGCGAAAGCGAAGCUAAUUCCGCAUAAGAUCCGCAAGGAUGAAAGCCGAAAGGCGCCGAUGGAGGGGCCCGCGCACGAUUAGCUAGUUGGUAGGGUAAUGGCCUACCAAGGCUUUGAUCGUUAGCUGGUCUGAGAGGAUGGCCAGCCACACUGGAACUGAGACACGGUCCAGACUCCUACGGGAGGCAGCAGUGGGGAAUCUUGCACAAUGGGCGAAAGCCUGAUGCAGCGACGCCGCGUGGGGGAUGAAGCUUUUCGGAGUGUAAACCCCUUUCGAUCCGGACGAAUGCCCGCAAGGGAUUGACGGUACGGAUAUAAGAAGCCCCGGCUAACUACGUGCCAGCAGCCGCGGUAAUACGUAGGGGGCCAGCGUUGUUCGGAAUUACUGGGUGUAAAGGGUUCGUAGGCGGUGCGGCAAGUUGGGAGUGAAAUCUCUGGGCUCAACCCAGAGGCUGCUUCCAAAACUGCUGUGCUUGAGUGUGAGAGAGGCUCGUGGAAUUGCAGGUGUAGCGGUGAAAUGCGUAGAUAUCUGCAGGAACACCCGUGGCGAAAGCGGCGAGCUGGAUCACUACUGACGCUGAAGAACGAAAGCUAGGGGAGCAAACAGGAUUAGAUACCCUGGUAGUCCUAGCCCUAAACGAUCAGGACUUUGGGGUGUCACCCGUUCGGGUGACGUCCCGGAGCUAACGCGUUAAGUCCUGCACCUGGGGAGUACGGUCGCAAGACUGAAACUCAAAGGAAUUGACGGGGGCCCGCACAAGCGGUGGAACAUGUGGU